AUUGAACGCUGGCGGCAGGCCUAACACAUGCAAGUCGAGCGGAGCGGCGGACGGGUGCGUAAUGCUUAGGAACCUGCCUGGUAGUGGGGGACCACGUCCGGGUACGGGCGCUCAUACCGCAUACUUUCAGGUGAGCCUUGGUCGGCUUAGUGAGUUGGUGGGGUAAAGGCCGGCCAGGGCGACGAUUCGUAACUGGGCUGAGCGGAUGAUCAGUCACACUGGGACUGGGACGCGGUCCAGACUCCUACGGGUGGCAACAGUGGGGAAUGUUGGACAAUAGGCGCAGCCCUGAUCCGGCCAUGCCGAGUGUGUGAAGAGGGGCUUCGAGUUGUAAAGCGCUUUAAGUUGGGAUGCGUUACCAACAGAAUAAGCACCCGGUAACUCCGCGCCAGCCGCCGCGGUAAUUC
rnacentral:rRNA from 1 species